UCAGUUUAAGAGUUGUGUUAUAUCUUUCGUAGCCCAUUUAGAUCGAUGCAAAAUAUGUGCAUAUUAUAUAGCUUUAAGACUGGGAGCUCUGUUUGUGUGCGUAUUAUCCACGAUGUCAUAGUUUUCAAUAUGUGUGACUAAAGAAAUACAUUGUGAUUCACUGAACAGUAGAGUUUCGGACAAUGGCUGAUGAUCUAAGCGAGAGGAGCAAUAUUAAAGCAGACAUACCUGCAGGGCGCCGAUGGCAGCGCACUGGAAACGCAGGUCAGUCCCGAAGCCCUGAGCAAUCUCCCUUACCAGGCGCUGGAACGGCAGCUUACGGAUCAGCAGCUCAGUGGACCUCUGGUACCGACGGAUCUCUUUUAGAGCUACGGUGCUGGGCCUGAAACACACAACCAUGAUCUAGAUCUGAGGACGUGCUGCAGUACACGGAGAAGUGAACAGCGAUGUACUCUUUCUUGACGUUUUGUCGAUCCAGGACCCAAAAGAUUGAGUUUCAUUGGAUCUGUGCGUUACUCCAAUUUAUGACAAGUUGAAGUGGAUGGUAUUACCUGUAA